GUGAGCUCAUAUCUCUCUCUAUAGGUCUGCUGAAGCAGAGUUUGCUAAUGCUUUCAAAUGUUUUGUUCAGAUUUGUUGAAGAAAGAGGAUGACACUGACCAAGGGUUCAAGUUAACAGGGUUUGCAGCAAAAAAGAUCAAGAAAGAGGAUAUUGUUGAAGGGUUAAAGUUUACAGGUCCCAUCACAGAAGAAAUGUGCUCCGUAUUUACUUUACCCAGGCUUCAAAUCUUGAUAAUCAGUGCUCCGUAUUUAC